CAGAGAGGUAUGGAUAGUCAGCAUCUCAUACAGGCAUUGAAUGUUUUAAGUAGUUUUUGCCUAUUGUUUUCUUCCCGAUUAUUUUUAGCAUGUCUAGACCUCUAUCUGAUUUAAUGAAAAAAAAAAACAUAAUGGCAACAAAGAUUUCAUUUAUCCCUCCUGGUUUUUCACCAAACUGACAUUGGCUUGGAGGGCAGGAUGGACAUCUUCAUGCUGUGAAGACAGACUGGAAGUCCCAUCAUAUUGCAGAUUCUCAGAAAUUGAAGGCAGCAUUCAAAGGAGCCUAACGGAGAAAUGUAGAAGAUUAAGUAAACGACACUAAGUUCCAGUAAUUCCAGUGACUUCUAGUUGCACUUGCUGAAGAUUAAAU
rnacentral:lncRNA from 1 species